rnacentral:rRNA from 1 species
AUGGGAGCGGCCAUGGCGGAGGAGAGGAGGGCGCACGCGAUGAUGUUCCCGUUCCCGUGCUCGGGCCACAUCAACCCGACGCUGAAGCUGGCGGAGCUGCUGCACUCGCGCGGGGUGCACGUCACCUUCGUCAACACCGAGCACAACCACGAGCGCCUGCUGCGGACGGGCGGCGCGCGGCUCGCCGGCCGGGACGGAUUCCGGUUCGAGUCCGUGCCCGACGGGCUGGACGACGCCGACCGCGCCUCGCCAGACAAGACGGUGAGGCUCUACCUGUCGCUGCGGAGGAGCUGCGGCCCGCCGCUGGUGGACCUGGCGCGCCGACUCGGGGAGCAAGAGGGCGUGCCGCCUGUCACCUGCGUCGUGCUCAGCGGCCUCGCCAGCUUCGUGCUCGGCGUCGCGGAGGAGCUCGGCGUGCCGUCCUUCGUCAUCUGGGGCACCAGCGCCGUCGGCUUCGUCUGCACGCUCCGGCUGCGCCAGCUCACACAGAGAGGCUACACGCCGCUCAAAGAUGAGAGCUACUUGACCAACGGGUACCUGGACACGCCGAUCGACUGGAUCGCCGGGAUGCCGACGGUGCGGCUCGGCGACAUCUCCAGCUUCGUCCGGACGGUGGCGCCAAACGGGUUCGGCCUGCGCGUGGAGGAGGAGGAGGCCAACAGCUGCGCCAGGGCGCAGGGCCUCAUCCUCAACACGUUCGACGAGCUCGAGCCAGACGUCCUGGCCGCGCUCCGGGACGAGUUCCCGCGCGUGUACACCAUCGGGCCGCUCGCUGCCGCCAUGCACCGCCGCGUCGACCACGGCGCGUCCGGGCUGAGCCUGUGGGAGGAGGACGCGGCGUGCAUGGCGUGGCUGGACGCGCAACCGGCGGCGGGGUCGGUGCUGUACGUCAGCUUCGGGAGCCUGGCGGUGCUGUCGCUGGACCAGCUGGCGGAGUUCGCGUGGGGCCUCGCCGCCAGCAACCGCCCGUUCCUCUGGGUCGUGCGCCCCGGGCUUGUCGCCGGCGACCGCGGCAUGGAGGCCCUGCCGGCCGACUUCCUCGCGGAGACCAAGGGCCGGCGCUUCAUCGCCGAGUGGUGCGCGCAGGAGCAGGUGCUGCGGCACCGCGCCGUGGGGGGCUUCCUGACGCACAGCGGGUGGAACUCGACGACGGAGAGCAUCUGGGCGGGUGUGCCGAUGAUCUGCGCGCCGGGGUUCGCGGACCAGUACAUCAACAGCCGAUACGUGUGCGGGGAGUGGGGCGUCGGGCUGCGCCUGGACGAGCAGCUGCGGCGAGAGCAGGUCGUGGCGCACAUCGAGGAGCUCAUGGGCGGAGGGGAGAAGAGCGAGGAGAUGAGGCGCCGCGCCGCUGAGUGGAAGGCUCGUGCCGAGGCGGCGACGGCGCCCGGGGGGUCGGCGUACGAGAACCUCGACAAGCUGGUCGAGGAGCUGCGGCUGGAGGUGCCGGACGGCGGCGCCAAGCUUGCCAAAGUCACGCACGCCCGGUGA